AAUUUCUAAAUUUCCCUUUUUGACAUAAUUAGUAAUUUUUCUGAUUUUUUUUCUUUCUCAUUAAUUUGCUUUUACCCUGCAAACCUUUGAAGUCCCCAACUACCUUCUACGUGUUAUUGCCGGAUCAUUCCACCUUCUCCGUUCCAAUGUCAAUCGACUGAGUAAUAGGGAUUAGAUUUAUGUCCACCGCUUCUUCUUUCUCUUAUUCCUUCAGUCUGCACCGCUUCAUUCCUUGGAUGAAAACAAAACCCACUAAAGCUUCCCACCGUUUUUUUUUUCGUUCUCUGCUUAUCUAUCUCUCUCCAGUCUUCCAUCGGCUGUCUGGGUUGGACCGGCCUCAACAGCUACACAAACCCCACUCUGACGCCAUCGCGCGUCCCUCACAAUCGAUAAACGCUUCUCCACCGUUUGUGCGGUUGAACGUGUUAGGCUUCUGUUGUUAGUUAUUCACUUCCUCCUCCAUUGUCAUCUUCGUUCCCUCUGUUUUGACCUUCUUCAGGUAAACCCCAUUCUCUAUUCUUUGCUCUCUUUUCUUACGUUUAUUUUUAUGCUUUCUCUUCUUUAGCCCUCAAAAUUUCUGAUUCCAUGGUUUCUCGAUUUCAAUUUUCCGACUAAUCAUGUUUAUCGACAUACCCUCCUUAUGUUCCCUCUCGAUUUAGGAAGGAUUCAAUGGUACAGAAACAUAUACAUCAUUUUCUGUCCACCAACUGUUUGAUAUAAUGUCAAGAUGAGUUAUAUUAAAAAUUUUGGACUUUUUAUCCAAUAGCUUGAAGAUCAUUGAAUCUGGCUGGUAUAUUUCAGACGGUUUAUUAUGUGGUGUCCGACAUUUACGGUUCAAUAACCUCACCACUCAUGAGCUGAUAUCUCAAUCCAUGAAAAGGGUGAUUUCUCUUGGGAUGGUGUAUGUGUGUAUGGGUGGAAUACAAGAGGUUCAGUUCACAGCCCUGUUAUGUUGGUAAUGUACCAUAUAGUUCCACCUACUCUAUCUAUAAUUUCAUUUGAAUCUUUUAUCUUAUUGCUUUACUGGCUCUAUCUUUCUAUAUUUCCAUUUUUACCCUUUAACACCAGUUAAUAUAUCUAACCAGGAACCCUAUAAUAGAGAGUCAAAAUAUAUUGACGUUAGGAAAGAUACACAGAGUAGAGUUAGUAAAACAUGUAAAUUCAGUAGGUAGACCAUCAUAUACGUAUAUACCUGCUUAUUGUCAGCUUCAUUAGGUGGACCAGCAUAUACCUCUUAUGGGUUUAUGGAAAGCUAGCAGUAUUGUACAUUUAUGGAUUUACCCUUGGGUUCAGUUUUAGACAAUUGAGGCCCUUUAAUAUGUUUCGGCACCUGAAUUGGCAUUGAGGUUGUACUUACAUUGUGCAAAGAUACGGACACAGAUAAAUCAAUUAACAACUUUGUUUUGAUUUUUAAAGGAAUCCACUUCUUAUUCCCUGAUAUGUCGCCUCCAUAUAAUGGUACAAAAUGGUUUUAAAUCCCUGCACCAUAUGCCGUAAUCAGAAGCAAAAGGGCAUUAAUUAUACAAUGAAAGAACUUUCUAAGAUGGCAAUGGCUUAUUACCAACUAAAUUUUGAGUAUCUUCACAAGUUGGCUCCACACUUCUUUGGUGCAAUGGACCAUGAUGGCGAUGGCAAGAUAGAACUGAGAGUUCUUGGAGUUUAUGAGAGAAGAUCCAAAUGGAGAUGUUAGGGAUGUUCAUUUUUGUUGAUUUUCUUUUUUCAGCAUUUGGAUGAAGAGUGUUUUAAAUAAUAUGUUAUUUGAUGAUUUGAUUGCCUACUGUUAUUGAUGAUUUGAUCCAAAUCUAACCCCCGCUAUGCCGGGGCUCUUUUCUAGUUA